rnacentral:lncRNA from 1 species
UCUGGUUCUGCGACUACAAGUACAAUGAAGAGAAUACAGUCUCAUUUGUCACCAUGAACAAGGUAGGGGGAUUCCUGCAGCGAAUGGAUUUGGCACGCAAGUAUGCAUUUGGGAAGAUGCUCGUGAUCGGCUCUGAGCCCCCAUUCAAAGUGAAGGGAUUAUGGCUUUUCCGUGGACAAGAGAUCCCCCAAUUUGUCCUCGAUGAGUGCUAUGACAUGGAACUCUACGAGUGGAAGAAAGUUGACAUCUCAGACGAAGCCCAAAAGGAACGUGUCAGUCAGAUGAUUGAAGACUGCGAGCCAUUCGAGGGAGAGCCUCUUUUGGAUGCCAAGUGCUUCA